rnacentral:misc_RNA from 1 species
GUAGGUGAACCUGCGGAAGGAUCAUUAACAAAUCUGGAUGUGCACCGUCAUUGGUGCAUAUUAGCCCUAGGCUUGGCACUUUUGUGUGCUGGGCUUCUGGUGGUGGUGGGUUGAUUGACCUAUGGCGUUAGCUUGUCUUUCUGACGGCUUUGGCCUACCGUCAUCGGCUCAACAUUGACGCUUGUACAUGUUUGACAGAGUUUGUGUAUGCAAAUGCAAAAAUGACAACUUUUAACAAUGGAUCUCUUGG